rnacentral:rRNA from 1 species
UACGAAGGGGGCUAGCGUUGCUCGGAAUCACUGGGCGUAAAGCGCACGUAGGCGGAUCGUUAAGUCAGGGGUGAAAUCCUGGAGCUCAACUCCAGAACUGCCUUUGAUACUGGCGAUCUUGAGUUCGGGAGAGGUGAGUGGAACUGCGAGUGUAGAGGUGAAAAUUCGUAGAUAUUCGCAGGAACACCAGUGGCGAAGGCGGCUCACUGGCCCGAUACUGACGCUGAGGUGCGAAAGCGUGGGGAGCAAACGGG